AAUUAGCAAUUAGCAAAAUCAUAAUUAAUAAAAACAUUAAUAAAAAUCUUUAAAACUACAGUAAGUACCAGGCUAAUGAAAAACAUGGUAACCAGAAAGAACUCUGUGUAGGUAAAAAGAAUUGCAGCAAAGUCCCUCUGUAGCAACAGCAGUACGGGUAGGAAGGAGUAAAGAAAAGGGUGAGUCAUGUUGAUGCCUGGGAGAAGUGAGUUCCAGGCAGAAGGAAAAGCAAAAGCACCAAUCAGAAAGUGGUAUCCAUAGUGUCUGAGAAACAGUAAGGAAAGCUGUGUGUCUGGAGAGGGCUGGACAAAGGACAGAAGGGUAGAACAUCAGAAGGAUGGCCAGGGCCAGAUCGGAGAUGGCCUUGUUGGUCAUAGGAAAGGCUUCAGUUUUGUUGGUUCCAGCAACACAUCAUGAGUAUAAGUCAGGGCUUCUGGGAUUGGCUUCAGCCAAUUUCUUCAGCUAUGUGGGACAGGUGAGUUCUCCCACAUAGGAAGGCUAUGAGGACGAUAGAGGAACAAGUAGGCCUUGCCUUCGAGACUCUCCUGUGGGUGACAGUGCUAGCAUGUCAUUUUGUCCUACAUAGUCCUUCCCUCAUGGGGCUUUGUCCUUCCCUAGAAACUGAAGGAGGAAUGGCUGCUGGGCUUUGGGAAGUUAUGUCCCAGAUAAGUUAGAGCACUAGUUAGAACUUUGACCACAUUUUUCGGGACUUUUUUUUUUUUUUCAGCCCAGAGGAAAACUCUCUACUCUUUGUUCAUAGAAUGCUUUUAUACAGUAUUUGAUAUCUGUAGGCAUAAUUUUUUGUUUGUUUGUUUGUUUGUUUCUGAGACAGGGUUUCUCUGUGUAGCCCUGGCUGUCCUGGAACUCACUCUGUAGACCAGGCUGGCCUUGAACUCAGAAAUCCACCUGCCUCUGCCUCCCGAGUGCUGGGAUCAAAGGUGUGCGCCACUACUGCUCAGCUGUAAGCAUAAUUUUUUGCAAACUACUUUUUUUUUAAAGAUUUAUUUAUUUAUUAUAUGUAAGUACACUGUAGCUGUCUUCAGACACUCCAGAAGAGGGCGUCAGAUCUUGUUACAGAUGGUUGUGAGCCACCAUGUGGUUGCUGGGAUUUGAACUCCGGACCUUUGGAAGAGCAGUCGGGUGCUCUUACCCACUGAGCCAUCUCACCAGCCCUCAAACUACUUUUAAUAAAUGUUCAGCCUCUCCUCUUGCCCACCACCCAGCAGAGGCGGUGGAAGAGGAAAGUUAUUAGGCUACGGGGAAAGUAGACCUGUUCAGCAAUAGCUCUUUGGGGGCGAGCUCGAUCUUCUUUGGCAGCAGUUCAGUCCCAUAGCAAACACCAAAUACAACUCAGCAGCUGCAGUCCAGUCCUCUAGGCAGGAAAAAAGCAUGCACGAACCAGCACCUCUAGUUCAAUCCUGAAGAAACUGCCAGGCUUGCCAACUGGCUGGAGCCUGCAGAAGCAGCAAGCUACCACAGGAACCUCACAAGCAGUUCUUGGGCAAGUUUCUCUCAAUGUCUGCGUUACCACAAGCUAUGUAAGGCGAACCAAUACAUGUGUGUUGGCAAAGAAUAGCAAGGCAGAGCAAACCAAACCAAUGCUCUGCUCUCACUAUCUGUGGGGUCAUAUUUAUACUCCGUCACACGCCCUUUCACGUGCAUGCUAUAGCAAAACUUCCUUUUACGUGUGUCUGCUUCAGGAAAACAUUCUUUCACAUGUCUGCUCCAGCAAAAUGUCAUUUGACAUACUGACUUUCGAAACAAACCUGAAGUUUCCAUUCUAGGACACCAUGAAGCAGCAAGCAGCAGAACUCAGCAGCUUUGGCCAUGUGGCUCUGGCUUUAGAGUGAAUAAAAGGGGUUCUGGGACAAUUGAUGCUGGUUGGCUGGAGCUAAGAAAUUAGUGAUGAUUAAGAAGAGACCAGCAUCACUGAGGUGAAGUCUUCUGGGAAGUGGGUUUGUUUGUUUGGUUGGUUGUUUUGAGAGCACAAAGAAGCUGUGUUCCAAAAAGAGCCAAGGUUGUAUCUCAUGCUGCAGCUGGACUUGGUAAUGUGUAAGAGUCGUCACCCAGUUGGUACUGAUUUUGAAGGCAAGAAGGGAUCAUGAAGAGCAGCUGAGGCUUGACACUGUGAGAAACCGGGGAAGGCCAUUGGUGAAGGUGCAGCUUCAGUUACAGUUGAUUGCCCAGGACUGAAGGGGUUGUGCAAAGAACUUGAAACUCAGCACCGUGAAAAGAGCCUAUGAGAGGCUAUUGGUGAAACCUAAUUGCAGCAGAAGACCAUAUUGAAGAUGCCAUGGGAUUACCACCAAGAACAGCAACAGCAGUGGAGUAGAGUCAACCAGAGCGUAGAGUGCUACAAAGGGCAGAGCUGGAGAAGUGACCCAAGUUCUUUGGAGGAGCCCAGAAAUCAUGUGUGCAUCCCAAACGUUACAUUGGAGACCCUAAGAUUUUAGAGAUGCCAGAGUCAUGAGAUAUCUACUGAAGAAAGUUGCUAACAGGGAGUGGAACCAGCCCAAGAAUUUUGUUGCAGUCAACAAAGAUAAGAAGAAUUGGAGAUCUGAAGCGCACUUUGACAUCAGACAUGGAGAUGCAGAGUUUGGAGUUUGCCCAGCCAGUUUUUGGUCUUGCUUUGGUCCAGUAUUUCCUCACUAUGACAUUUUGUAAUGUAUAUCCUGUGAUGUUGGAGGUAUGUGAUCUGCUCUGAUUUUUAUAGAGGAUUACAGUAAAGUGAUUAGAUAAUCUGAGAAGAGAUUUUGAACUUUUAGCAUCGAGACUGUGAUAGACUAUGGGGACUUUUGAAAUUGAAAUAAAUGUAUUUCACAUUAUGGCUAGGUAUGGCCCUCAUACAAUCAUGCAUUUGAACAAGCCUAUGAGGGCCAGAGAGUGAAUGUAGUAGUUUGAGUAGGCUUGGCCCCCAUAGACUGAUGUGUUUGAUUAUGUUUGAUUCAGGGAGUGGCACUAUUAGAAAGUGUGGCCCUUGUUGGAGGAAUGUGUUACUGUGGGGGUGGGCCCUACUCCUAGCUGCCUGAAGACACUCUUGUGGCUGACUUCAGAUCAAGAUAUAGAACUCUCGGCUCCUUCUCCAGCACCAUGUCUGUCUGGACGCUGCCAUGCUUCCCAUCAUGAUGAUAAUGGGUGGAACCUCUGAAGCUUUAAGCCAGCCCCAAUUAAAUAUUGUCUCUUAUAAGAGUUGCCUUGGUCAUGGUGUCUCUUCUCAGCAAUAAAACCCUAUCUAAGAAAGUUGGACUGCAGCCUGUAAGUCAUUCCAAUAAAUCCCCUUUACACACACACACACACACACACACACACACAUCCAUUCCAUUAGUUCUAUGACACUAGAGAACUCUAACACACCCCCUCCCUGAAAAACUAUUGCUGUGUGAGCUGUGGUGUGUGACUGUGUGUCCAAAGUCCACCCUUUUGUCCACACAACUUUACUUGCAAAUGCUCAUUGCAGUGAAUCCUUGGUCUGAUUCAAAGCCUCUGGCUUCUGCUACACUACCAAGACUAGAUCUUCACAGGGACUCCUCUUAGAUUUCCUG
rnacentral:lncRNA from 1 species